rnacentral:rRNA from 1 species
UACGAAGGGGGCUAGCGUUGCUCGGAAUCACUGGGCGUAAAGGGUGCGUAGGCGGGGCUUUAAGUCAGAGGGGAAAGCCUGGAGCUCAACUCCAGAACUGCCUUUGAUACUGAGGAUCUCGAGUUCGGGAGAGGUGAGUGGAACUGCGAGUGUAGAGGUGAAAUUCGUAGAUAUUCGCAAGAACACCAGUGGCGAAGGCGGCUCACUGGCCCGAUACUGACGCUGAGGCACGAAAGCGUGGGGAGCAAACAGG